rnacentral:lncRNA from 1 species
AAAGAAGAAAGAUAUUGGAAAUCCCACAAUAAGCGCGACUCAUUGGCAACUCAGAGAUCAAAGUUAACAUAAAAAAAAAAAAAAAAAAUCUCGGUCAACAGAAUAAAUAAAAAAGAUUGGGUGAUUCAGUCAAGAGAUCAAAGUUAGGCAUAAGCAAGCCAAACCUCAUUCUUACACAUACAAGUCAAAAAUUCUUCAAAUCUCCAGCUCACCAAGGUCACACAAACCUAGACCCAUCACCCAAAUUUAUAGCAUUAACAUGUUGAACCACCACCAACUACCACCUUUUCCCUGACAUAUGCUUCAGAUCCAAGACAACCAUAUCCCUUUGAUUCUCCCCUGAAUGCCACUCCCACUUACCACCACCACCUCCAAAAGUUGACAAAAACUAAGUAUUUAACUAUUUAAUUACUAACUGGAUAGAUUAUUGAUGAGAUAUAAACUAUGAGAGAGAGAGAGAGAGAAGAGACCAGUAUGCACAUAGUAUAAAUCUAAAACUGUAUGGAUUUACAUCCCACAGUAAAACCUUUUUUUUUUUUCUUCACAAACUCACUCCACAGAGUUGCAUACAAGUAGUUAGAAAACUAAGCAAAAAUACUUUUCUCCAAAAAAAGAGAGAGAGAGAGAGAGAGAGAGAGAGG